AGGAGAGAAGGACAUUCCUGGACUGACAGA
rnacentral:piRNA from 1 species